ACUGACUUCAGGCUGUUGUCAUGUGUGGUACCACAGCCUGGUGCCACCCAGAGGGGUCAGCUUGACAUCUACAACAGAACAUCAAGAAAGAAAGAUGCUAGGGGGAAUGGACAACACGAUGAUCUGAAAUGUUUGCACAUUCAAGGCUGGGGGCUGAGGGAAUGUGUGUGUGUUCGCUGGAAAUGUGAUGCAUGGCAAAACAGUUUUCCAUAGUGGUCAAAUGCAUUGAUUUCUACUCAAAUCUGCCUGGACCAGUUAUACUUGAAAUGGGUAGACGAGCAGCUGAUCACACCACUCCAGUGCCAGUUCUUGGAGAGCCAGCACUUGUGGGGACACGCAUCUGGAGGGCCAUGACAAAUGGGACCAGUAGUAUGGCGGCCCUCACACUGUCCCAUCACUGUAAUGUCGGUGUGCAGACAUCACCUGCAAUGAGAAACAACCAACUACAGCUGAACGGCAAACAUGUGGACGCUUGUAAUAGUCAAUCAGAAAACAAAGUGAUCAUGCCACCUAAUGGCCACAUACCAAACGAGUACGGUAAAACGGAGGAUAACGGAAAAGAAAAAACAAAAAGUAUAAUUAUUAAACAAAAAAGUCUGGAGACCAAAAUGAAAAAGGGUGUGACCUUACCUCACUAAUCAUCACACAGUCAAGAGGGAAUCUAGUGCUGACACACACAUUAAUCAUACCAGUCGCUCAUCGGCUCUAAAUACACACACUCUCACUGUUACCGUGAAAGAGGAUAGAGGCUCAACAAAGGUCGUAAACACACACCUGAACACUCACAAACCUCACAACUCUUGUCCCCGCAGAACUCCUGUGUCUGUCAACCCUCCCCAAACACACAAAAACAGCCUGUCAGAGAAGAUAGAUAACAGAAUACCACACACAAACACCCACUUCAGAUCAUCUCACCAGCCAAACCCUGAUGAGAAACAACCAACUCAAGGAAACCAAGUGAAAUCUACACACUCAGAGUCUCCCCAGCCACAAAAUAAAACACACAUCAAACAUUUGCA
ensembl:lncRNA